GUGCAGCCGUAGAAUGUAGAAGUUUAGAGAGGGGACGGCAGGAAGCUUCAGAGUGAGCAAGGACAGAAGGCAAGGCUUGAGGCAAGCUUGGAGGGCAGCACUUACCACUGAAAGAAGGGCUGGGAGCACUUGCUGUUAGAUUCCCUGCUGCUCUCAGGACUUUGGGCUAACAGGACAACCACAAAGAAUCCUGCAGAUUGACACCUCUGGGCUUUCAGGCUUAUAAUUCUGGUCAGGAAGAGCAAUCUCCAGGCUUCCAAGGCUGAGACUCCUUGUGUUGACCAGGGUCCCAUCACCUGUGUUGCUGCAGCAGGCAGGCUUCAGGGAGAAGCACGUACCAUGAUGUUGGGUUUGCCUUAGUAUCUGUUCAUACAUUGAAGAGUUUGUUCAACUCAUGUUCUGGUAAGAGCCACCCUUCACACUGUGUUGUUGCAGUGAAGGUUUGGGAGAGGCAAAGAUAGGUCCUUGCUGUACUCUGUCCCGUGCACUUACCUCGCCAGUUAGUUUUGAAGAAGCUGUUUGGGCAAAAGGGACCAAAUUUGGCAGAUGAUCUGUUGUUACUUCAUCCUUUCUGUUGAACAGAAUUGAACUAUCUACACUUUAAUAUCUUUUUAUGUAACUUGCAGUAACAGGAAUCCUCUGAACUCUGGAUUACACCACAGAUGAAGAACGAUGAAGCAAAGUUGUUUUCUUUUGGGCAUGAAUAUUUGCAGGAAUAAGAGUCUACUCCAGAAAGCCACUGGGAUCAAUCCAUAUAAUCAAGUAAGAGAAUAGAUGGGCAGUGCACACAUUCAGCAAGUCAUUGACAUUAAUAACCACUUGUUGUCUAGAGCUGGAAGAUUACUCAUGUACUAUAAACGUGAUCAUGAAAGACAUCAGCACUUUGGAGAACAAAUGUUGCCCAUAGUUUUGGUGAACCCAAAACAGGCGUUUUCAGCAGUCAGUGUCUGAAAUCCAGCUGUUACCAGAAGUGGAGGGAACCACACUCAGCACUGCUGGGAAGAUGUUUUCUGUAUAUU